rnacentral:rRNA from 1 species
UGGGGAAUAUUGGACAAUGGGCGCAAGCCUGAUCCAGCCAUGCCGCGUGAGUGAUGAAGGCCUUAGGGUUGUAAAGCUCUUUCGUCCGGGACGAUAAUGACGGUACCGGAAGAAGAAGCCCCGGCUAACUUCGUGCCAGCAGCCGCGGUAAUACGAAGGGGGCUAGCGUUGCUCGGAAUCACUGGGCGUAAAGGGCGCGUAGGCGGCCAAUCAAGUCAGGGGUGAAAUCCCGAGGCUUAACCUCGGAACUGCCUUUGAUACUGUUUGGCUCGAGACCGGAAGAGGUAAGUGGAACUGCGAGUGUAGAGGUGAAAUUCGUAGAUAUUCGCAAGAACACCAGUGGCGAAGGCGGCUUACUGGUCCGGUUCUGACGCUGAGGCGCGAAAGCGUGGGGAGCAAACAG